CCAUUUUGGAAAGCCCAAAGAGAGCUCUCCGAUGAAUGAGGAAGGAAAACUGAAUUCUUCUAUUGUUUUUUUUUCCAACUCCAAAUUUUGACGUUAAUGUACUUUUUUGGGCCUUUUCGUGAUCUUUGCUAUAUUGCG
rnacentral:sRNA from 1 species